AAUUUUCACAAAUUUAUUUCAGAGUCUUCGACACAUUACCGAAGUUUAUCAAACGUUAAACCCAACUAGCUCCAUUAACCAUCUCACGGUCUUUACAGAACGUUAACGUCAUGUUACGUUAACGUCAACUGUCAACUAUCGUAACUUUAGCCGAGACAGCUAACCAAGUUAACCGACCACUCUAACAUGUUAGCUAGCUUUGUGUUGAAUAAGGAGAAACUCUGUCAUUAGAUUUUUUUUUUCCUGAAGCUAGACUUAAAACUUUUCUACAUGCAAACCAGGCAGCUGCGAGUUGACAACGGUGGGUGAGAGGUUGACCGUCUUCUGCUCUGCUUGCUGUGUGACUAAAGCGUCUCUGAGGUCUCAGGGUGUUGCUGCUGGAGCCAAUCCCAGCCUUGUCCCAGGGCAGGGUA